UGAAAAAAGCGUGUAAAUGUAGUAGCUGGGAAGUAAGAACAUGAAGAUGUUUAAUACAACUCUGCUGAGAAAGUAACCAAAGUAACCAUGGAAAAAGUUUUAAGGUGGUUACAAUAGGAGUGAGAGAGGGGAGUGUGGGUAGAAUUUCUAAGGUGAUUGGAAUAUUACAUUGUGCUACUUAAUAAUAGAGUGUUACCACAUUAUGUGAUGGGAUUGCUAGGUGGUAAGGCAUUUGGCAGGUGAUAUGAUUUGAUGUGGUGCGGGCUUUGUGGGAAGUGGUACGGGGUUGAGAACACGGAUAUGCAUGUAAAAGUGAGGAAGAAGGGGGUCUGCAUACUUUGUAGGUAUCACUGGAUAGAUACGAGGUGGAUGGAUGGUAAUGAGGAGAAAUUAUGACCAAGGUGCUGAGAGACAAACUAUGAUAUUCAAAGACGAAGGCUCAAUACUCCAACAUGUGAGAGACGACAUUGUUUUUGGGGAUUUUAUGUUCAUCAGAGACAAAAAUUGUGUGGAGUAGGAAGGCACCAU
rnacentral:lncRNA from 1 species